ensembl:lncRNA
CUUUAAAGCAUCUUGUUUUAAACUGCCCUUAAUGAAUGAAGGUGUUGGCAAGAGUUGCAGCUGAUUCGCGCAAGACGAGAAGCUCUGUUUGUUUUAUUAUCCAUCUUCUACCUGUCCAUAAGAAAAGAAAUUUGCACAUUUCCACCCAGAAUUUACUGUUUGUAUACAUUUCACAGUCACAGAAUUCUAUACAAAACUCCUAUAAUUGAUCUGAGAUAGUUUUUAAAUAUAUUAACAUUUAAUUAGUAGCAUAAGUUUAACAGAUUUCAUACCAUAAAGUCAUUUUCAGACCUGCUAUCACAUGUUGUCAGUUAUUGAGAUCUGUGAAAAUGAAAAAAAAUAAAUGAACAAUUAAAGUCGUUGCGCCAGAAAGUUUGGUGCUCACAAUAGAUUUCACGGUCUACCUUUCCUGCUCUGCUGCGUUUGCUACGUCGUUACAAUGAGCGAGCAUAAACCGAUAAACCAGAACUCAAACAGUUCACUGUACACGACUUUCUCAACGAGACAGAAUGCAAACAAACGUCAACAAUCUUGAUCCAAAUACAGCACUUGUCAAAACUUCUACAACAUAAAACAUUACAUUAAGCCUGACACCAUUUGGACAGAAAUCAUUGAUGUAUGCACCCAAAAAGGCACAAACAUCGAUGAACGUAGGUCUGAUGAAAAAGACACUGCAUAAAAUUAAAAAAACAAAAACAAAAGAAAACUCAAAAAACCAGCAACAAAAAAGUGCUCCCACUCAUGGCGUGUGUUAAAACAUUUAAAUAUCUUUCAGUAGCAGUUUGCGGGCUACUGAAAAUAUGUCUUAAACCAUGACUAAAUCAACACAAAAACUGAAAAUAAAUACACAAAGAAAUUGAGAAACAGGGGCAGACGAGAUGAGCGAGGCGCUGUGGUUUCUGUCGGUUUGAUCGUCUGAGAGAUUAAGAGCACGAUGGCCUCAGUACACAGAGCUGCUGCUGCUGUUGUUCAUUUCCAUGUAAAGAAACUCUGUGGUGGAGAUCAGUGAGACUGU